rnacentral:rRNA from 1 species
UACGUAGGGCGCAAGCGUUGUCCGGAAUUAUUGGGCGUAAAGAGCUCGUAGGCGGCCUGUUGCGUCCGCUGUGAAAUCCCGGGGCUCAACCCCGGGCCUGCAGUGGAUACGGGCUGGCUGGAGGCAGGCAGGGGAGAACGGAAUUCCUGGUGUAGCGGUGAAAUGCGCAGAUAUCAGGAGGAACACCGGUGGCGAAGGCGGCUCUCUGGGCCUGUUCUGACGCUGAGGAGCGAAAGCGUGGGGAGCGAACAGG